CUCAAUCUCUCAAAAACACGUUGCACACAUGUUAUAACAAAUGAUAAAUUACAAAAAUAAGGGUUAUAGAAUCACACACUGCAUGCUGUUAAACAGAUUUGAGGCCUUAGCCAGCCAUCAUAACUACAAGAUAUUCAAGUUUUGCUUGUGCUGGAUCUGUCAUCACCAACAAUCCCAGCAACAUCGCUUGGAUAAACAGCAUCAAGUUUGAUGCUGCUUCUUCCCCUUCCUUAAAUCCCCUCUGUCCUCGUGUACACCCAUGUGAGUGUGGGGGUAUUCACGAGUCUGAGGCCCCUUUCCCCUAUCCCUCCUGGUGGAUUCAACUCUUCUGCAGAUGGAGCAACUGGAGAUGAUGCCUGGCUGUAUGUCCCAGGCUUAAAGAUGCAUGUAGAUGGUGAAAUGCUGAAUCUCAAAAAUUCCAAGAACUUCAUUUCACCGAAUCGACUUUCUUUUCCAAUUUAAAUGGCCACUGGUGAGUUGCAGUUAAGCCUAAUUAUGUAGCCUAAUACUAUAGAGAAUAGACAAAUUUUUUGGAGCUUGGUUCAUGCGAGCUUCGACAGAAUUCUAGCAGUUGGCUGUUUUAUCGAAAUGAGAAAACAUGCACAUUCAAAUUCUCACAGCAUCACAUAGACUGUGUGUUUGACACAACUGCUGAUAACACCAAGUGGAAAAUUUGUUUUGAAUUUUAAAUGAUAAACACUUUCUUUUGUUCUACAUCAUCUCAGGUAUGAGCUCUGAGACUAUGCAUUCUCUUGUUUCUUUAAAAUCUUGUAAAAUGUCCUCAUCCACAAAUUAUCUCCUAAAAUCUUCAUUAUCAUUCAAAUCUGCAUUAGGUUGCUGUUACAGUAAAUAUGAUCCAGUGAAAUAUUCCUCAGUCGAUUUCAUGUCUUUUAUGUGUUAUCAUCAAUUAUCUUUAGAAAUACAGUGUUCAUUCCAACACUUCAUUCCAUUGCCAACGCACAAGAUGUAAGUUUCUGAAUGGAAGUAAAAAGUUUUAUCUAGAUUGGAAUUGAUUUGCUACUAAUAAUUGGAACUGAUUUUCAACAGUGAAAGUGCGUGAUCAAGAUAAUGCCGCUAAUAAGCAACGGCGAAACAGACAACAACUAGGACGAAAAUGGGGAGGAACUUCAUCUAUUAGCGUUUUCGAUGGGAUCUGAGCUUCUGUAGAUGUGGAUCGUCAACUGCGACAGGGCCACCAUUUUAUAGUCAUUAUCACCAGUCGACAUAAUGAUUGUUGGCUUCACGAGUCAUCUUGAUCACGAUUCUUUGGCAAGGCGCGAAUGCGGUUGGAAGUGCCUCAUCCCCAAAUUAUCUCCUAAAAUCUUCACCCUGUAGGUUUCACCGUUUCAGAUUACGGUGAAUAAGGUCCAGUUAAAUAUUACUCAGUCAAUUUCAUUUUUAAAUCGCAUGCUCUAAGAAAGAAAAGAUGGCUUUUUCUAACAUUUUGUGCUUCAAAAACUCGUGUACAGUUCCCCUUUGCCUGAAGGAUAUGCUGUCUUGGACCAACAUUCACCAAAAUGUAAGUUUUUGAAUGGAAAAAAAGUUUUCUCUUUGAAUGUAUUUGUAGCUAAUGGAAACUGAUUUUCAACUGAGAAAGCGGUAAGACAAUGCUUCUUAUGUGUGUAUUCUAAUAACAUCAGACCAAAUUAUUUAUUAUAGAAGGAAAAGCUGGAAAAAAGAUACAUCUUAUUAUAGGGAUACUGUUUCAAAUAAAAGAAAACUUAAGGAUUAAAUUGGCUACUCAGUGAAUCAGAGAAUAGUGGUUGG